UGUACAAUUUGAUCGGGAUCGGAAGAAUGUUUCAAAAAGUCGGGCUCAGUGAUCAAUUAAUUUAAACAACAGACCGCCAAAAUUUAACCUUGGCCUCCAUGUUGCAACGUCUGCUCUGCCUAAAGGAAGAAGUUUGUUGACCAGACAGCCUGAGAUCGUAUUGCUGUAUCAACCAAAAGAUGCAGAUACACGUAUUUCAUAUGCGCGUCUGUGCAUGAGGAGGAGAUUUCUGAAAAAGAAUAAGUGCUUAUUCAACUUACUGCGAUAUUAACGGGCUUAAAGCUUGGUCCAUGGAUGGUUAUGUUUGAGGAUUUGCCAAUUCGACCGCAAGUGCUGCUGCAAGAAAUUAAACAUGCAGAGACCUUACAAAUUACAAAGACGUCUGAAGAAAAUUUUUAUUGGACAGAUGGGUGUAAAGCACAGACCUGAGAUAUAAAUUGAAUUGUGAGAAAUAUGAAUCAGGGAUGCAGGUAGAAAAUGGCAAAUGUGAUCCAGAUUGAUAAAAAAAUGUCUAAAAUUUUUUCUUGUUUUGUAAAUAUUCAAUGCUAUGUCAAUUGUUAUUUUUUCCCCAAUACCUAAUAGUGUUGAACAUUUCACUCCCACUUUUGCUUAAAUAUAAUGAAUAAAUUUCCAUUUAUUUAAUAUGAAUAUUAAAAAAUGCCACAUUUUUUCCAUGAUGAACUUGUGGCUCAAAUAAGAGUUCCAGUUUUUUUUCCAUACAUGCUCCUAUUUGUUUGUCAAAGAUAUAAGAUCCAAUACAUUGCUCAUGAACAUAAUGUGUAAUUUUGUUCAUUCAUUUAUAUGUUUUUUUCUCAUAAUGAUAUAAUAAAUUGUAUAUAAUUUU